GGGGAUGUAGCUCAGUUGGUAGAGCGUACGACUUUUAAUCGUGAGUGUAUCAGUUCAAUUCUGAUCAUUCCCA
rnacentral:tRNA from 1 species